ACAGCAGUCGCCGCGGGAAUACGAAGGGUGCAAGCGUUACUCGGAAUUACUGGGCGUAAAGCGUGCGUAGGUGGUGGUUUAAGUCCGUUGUGAAAGCCCUGGGCUCAACCUGGGAAUUGCAGUGGAUACUGGUUCACUAGAGUGUGGUAGAGGAUAGUGGAAUUUCCGGUGUAGCAGUGAAAUGCGUAGAGAUCGGAAGGAACAUCUGUGGCGAAGGCGACUAUCUGGGCCAACACUGACACUGAGGCACGAAAGCGUGGGGAGCAAACAGGAUUAGAUACCCCUGUAGUCCCUGUCUCUUAUAC
rnacentral:rRNA from 1 species